rnacentral:rRNA from 1 species
CCUACGGGAGGCUGCAGGGGGGAAUAUUGCACAAUGGGGGAAACCCUGAUGCAGCGACGCCGCGUGAGUGAAGAAGGAUCUCGGGAGGUAAAGCUCUAUCAGCAGGGAAGAAAAUGACGGUACCUGACUAAGAAGCCCCGGCUAACUACGUGCCAGCAGCCGCGGUAAUACGUAGGGGGCAAGCGUUAUCCGGAUUUACUGGGUGUAAAGGGAGCGUAGACGGGGCUGCAAGUCCGGAGUGAAAGCCCAUGGCUUAACCCUGGUACUGCUCUGGAAACUGUGGAGCUUGAGUGCGGGAGAGGCAGGCGGAAUUCCUAGUGUAGCGGUGAAAUGCGUAGAUAUUAGGCGGAACACCGGCGGCGAAGGCGGCCUGCUGGACCGUAACUGACGUUGAGGCUCGAAAGUGCGGGUAUCAAACAGGAUUAGAUACCCCGGUAGUC